AAACAGUAGGAGCAGAGAUAGCUUGGAGAGAUAAGGGCCAAAGGGAUAAAAGGCAGUUUUAUUUUCAGAUGAAGAGAUGGAGAAGAGAAAAGAGAAUGCAAGAACUAAAUGGUGAAAACUACUGUGAACCCUGAACACGUAUCAUCUAUUAUACGAAAAAAUGGACCAGGAGACAGGGAAAAGAGUAUCUCCUACAGAGAUACUCUUGGAAGCUGAAGGAAAGGCUGAGAAUGUGUGGGUGUGUUUUCAAGCCUGUGAAACUGAGCUGGUG